UACAGAGGGUGCAAGCGUUGUUCGGAAUCAUUGGGCGUAAAGCGCACGUAGGCGGCUUGCCAAGUCAGGUGUGAAAGCCUGGGGCUCAACCCCAGAAGUGCACUUGAAACUGGCGAGCUUGAAUGUCGGAGAGGGCAGUGGAAUUCCGAGUGUAGAGGUGAAAUUCGUAGAUAUUCGGAGGAACACCAGUGGCGAAGGCGACUGCCUGGACGAACAUUGACGCUGAGGUGCGAAAGCGUGGGGAGCAAACAGG
rnacentral:rRNA from 1 species